rnacentral:rRNA from 1 species
UACGGCGAUCAUAGCGGCAGGGAAACGCCCGGUCUCAUUCCGAACCCGGAAGCUAAGCCUGCCUGCGCCGAUGGUACUGCACUGGUUACGGUGUGGGAGAGUAGGACAUCGCCGGAC